CAACAGCAAUAGCCUCAAUAGCCUCCUCAUUCUCUUUGUUCUUCUUCUUCUUCUUCUUCUUCUUUUCAAUUUCAUCACUCCCUGCAUCAAUUGCACUAUCAACAACAGCAACAGCAAUAGCCUCUAUAGCCUCCUCAAUCUCUUUGUUCUUCUUCUUCUUCUUCUUCUUUUUCUGCUUUUCAAUUUCAUCACUCCCUACAUCAAUUGCACCAUCAACAACAGCAAUAGCCUCAAUAGCAUCCUCAUUUUCAUUGCUCUUCUUCUUCUUCUUUUUCUUCUUUUCAAUUUCAUCAUUCCCUACAUCAAUUGCACCAUCAACAACAGCAAUAGACUCAAUAGCAUCCUCAUUUUCGUUGCUCUUUUUCUUCUUUUCAAUUUCAUCACUCCCUACAUCAAUUGCACCAUCAACAACAGCAACAGCCUCAAUAGCAUCCUCAUUUUCAUUGCUCUUCUUCUUCUUCUUCUUCUUCUUCUUCUUUUUCUUAUUUUCAAUUUCAUCACUCCCUGCAUCAAUUGCACCAUCAACAACAGCAAUAGCCUCCUCAUUCUCUUUGUUCUUCUUCUUCUUCUUCUUCUUCUUCUUCUUUUUCUUCUUUUCAAUUUCAUCACUCCCUACAUCAAUUGCACCAUCAACAACAGCAAUAGCCUCAAUAGCAUCCUCAUUUUCAUUGCUCUUCUUCUUCUUCUUUUUCUUCUUUUCAAUUUCAUCACUCCCUACAUCAAUUGCACCAUCAACAACAGCAAUAGACUCAAUAGCAUCCUCAUUUUCGUUGCUCUUUUUCUUCUUUUCAAUUUCAUCACUCCCCACAUCAAUUGCACCAUCAACAACAGCAAUAGCCUCAAUAGCAUCCUCAUUUUCAUUGCUCUUCUUCUUCUUCUUUUUCUUCUUUUCAAUUUCAUCACUCCCUACAUCAAUUGCACCAUCAACAACAGCAAUAGACUCAAUAGCAUCCUCAUUUUCGUUGCUCUUUUUCUUCUUUUCAAUUUCAUCACUCCCCACAUCAAUUGCACCAUCAACAACAGCAAUAGCCUCAAUAGCAUCCUCAUUUCCAUUGCUCUUCUUCUUCUUCUUUUUCUUAUUUUCAAUUUCAUCACUCCCUACAUCAAUUGCACCAUCAACAACAGCAAUAGCCUCAAUAGCCUCCUCAUUCUCUUUGUUCUUCUUCUUCUUCUUCUUCUUUUUCUUCUUUUCAAUUUCAUCACUCCCUGCAUCAAUUGCAUUAUCAACAACAGCAACAGCAAUAUCCUCAAUAGCAUCCUCAUUUUCAUUGCUCUUCUUCUUUUUCUUUUUAUUCUUUUCAAUUUCAUUACUCCCUACAUCAAUUGCACCAUCCACAACAGCAACAGCAAUAGCCUCAAUAGCAUCCUCAUUUUCAUUGCUCUUCUUCUUUUUCUUAUUUUCAUUUUCAUCACUCCCUACAUCAAUUGCACCAUCAACAACAGCAAUAGCCUCAAUAGCAUUCUCAUUUUCAUUGCUCUUCUUCUUUUUCUUCUUUUCAAUUUCAUCACUCCCUAC
rnacentral:lncRNA from 1 species